CUCCUAUCCCUUCAGGCCCCUAUACCCACUACCACAUUCUAAUUAACUUUCAUUCUAAUUAACUUUAUCUAAGUUUUUGUUAGUCUAAUUAUUAGAAGGAAUAUUCAAGAGAUCGGAUGAGCA